rnacentral:rRNA from 2 species
AGAGUUUGAUCAUGGCUCAGAUUGAACGCUGGCGGCAGGCCUAACACAUGCAAGUCGAGCGGAUGAAGAGAGCUUGCUCUCUGAUUCAGCGGCGGACGGGUGAGUAAUGCCUAGGAAUCUGCCUGGUAGUGGGGGACAACGUCUCGAAAGGGACGCUAAUACCGCAUACGUCCUACGGGAGAAAGCAGGGGACCUUCGGGCCUUGCGCUAUCAGAUGAGCCUAGGUCGGAUUAGCUAGUUGGUGAGGUAAUGGCUCACCAAGGCGACGAUCCGUAACUGGUCUGAGAGGAUGAUCAGUCACACUGGAACUGAGACACGGUCCAGACUCCUACGGGAGGCAGCAGUGGGGAAUAUUGGACAAUGGGCGAAAGCCUGAUCCAGCCAUGCCGCGUGUGUGAAGAAGGUCUUCGGAUUGUAAAGCACUUUAAGUUGGGAGGAAGGGCAGUAAGCGAAUACCUUGCUGUUUUGACGUUACCGACAGAAUAAGCACCGGCUAACUCUGUGCCAGCAGCCGCGGUAAUAC